GUUCAGUAUUUAUUCAGAACUUACCCCCAUCUUCAAAUUGUUCUCGGAAAUAAAUGGAGGACUCAGCAAAUAGUGAUACGAUCGAUACGGCCAUCAAAACCAUCGACAGGGUUGUCAUUUCAGCUUGCUAAAAAAAACACCCUCUAAAAUAGAAAAUGUAAUUAACAAAGUAAAUAAAUACCAUACAUUUUAUAGACACUAAAUCUAGCAGUAAAACUAGCUAUGGCUAGUUACACGCUAUAUUGGUCAAAAUCCUGACCUCAAAUGCUGUACUUACUGCAAGCCCCAAACGCUGCUGAUGGUCUCUCGUUUCCGAACAGAUGUCUGGUUUUCAUUGGAUAGCAGCUCCAGGAGGAAGCGUAACAACCUUUAACCAAUCGAAUUAAUUGAAAAAAAGCAUGGGACAAAUCGUUUCAGCCAAUGCCAGCUGACCACGCGUUUGCUUCACAAACGCCCCUCAGUAGUGGAAUGGGACCUGAGCCUUAGGACCAUGUCUCAGGACUACCUGGCAUGAAGACUCCUUGCUGUCCCCAGUCCACCUGACCGUGCUGCUGCUCCAGUUUCAACUGUUCUGCCUGCGGCUAUGAAAUCCUGACCUGUUCACCGGACGUGUUACUUGUCUCAGACAUGCUGCUUUCAACUCUAUAGAGACAGGAGUGGUAGAGAUCCUCUUAAUGAUCGGCUAUGAAAAGCCAACUGACAUUUACUCCUGAGGUGCUGAAUUGCUGCACCCUCGACAACUACUGUGAUUAUUAUUAUUUGACCCUGCUGGUCAUUUAUGAACAUUUGAACAUCUUGGCCAUGUUCUGUUAUAAUCUCC
ensembl:lncRNA